rnacentral:pre_miRNA from 1 species
AUCACCUAGGGAUUUUGUUAAAAUGCAGAUUCUGAUUCAGUAGGUCUGGAGUGUGAGCUGAGAUUCUAUAUUUCUAACAAGUUCCCCCGGUGAUACGCA